UACGAACUGUGCGAACGUUAUUCGGAAUCACUGGGCUUACAGGGUGCGUAGGCGGCUUGUUAAGUAGGGUGUGAAAGCCCCCGGCUCAACCGGGGAAUUGCGCCCUAAACUGGCGAGCUGGAGUGAGAUAGGGGUGUGUGGAACUUCCGGUGGAGCGGUGAAAUGUGUUGAUAUCGGAAGGAACGCCGGUGGCGAAAGCGACACACUGGAUCUUGUCUGACGCUGAGGUGCGAAAGCCAGGGGAGCGAACGGG
rnacentral:rRNA from 1 species